rnacentral:rRNA from 1 species
GACGUAGGGCGCGAGCGUUGUCCGGAUUUAUUGGGCGUAAAGAGCUCGUAGGCGGCUUGUUGCGUCAGCUGUGAAAACCCGCAGCUCAACUGUGGGCUUGCAGCUGAUACGGGCAGACUUGAGUUCGGCAGGGGAGACUGGAAUUCCUGGUGUAGCGGUGAAAUGCGCAGAUAUCAGGAGGAACACCGGUGGCGAAGGCGGGUCUCUGGGCCGACACUGACGCUGAGGAGCGAAAGCGUGGGGAGCGAACAGG